rnacentral:misc_RNA from 1 species
CGCACCUUGCGCCCCUUGGUAUUCCGAGGGGCACACCUGUUUGAGUGUCGUGAAUUCCUCCACCUUAGACUUUGUUGUCGACAGGCUGGGACUUGGGGGUUCUGCGGGUCCUCUCGAGGUCCGCUCCCCUUGAAUGCAUUAGUGAGGACCCCUGUGGCCUUGGUGUGAUAAUUAUCUACGCCUCGGCGAUGGGAGAAAGCCUCGCUUCUAACCGUCCCCUGCGGACAACUAUUCAAAACUUGACCUCAAAUCAGGUGGGACUACCCGCUGAACUUAA